rnacentral:lncRNA from 1 species
GUUGGGCUCCAGGCUCCUGCAGUGAGGCUCCUCCAGUGGUACCCCUAAUCUCUGGGCUUCCGUGAUGUCCUCAGGGACUCUUCCCUGCCUCUUGCUGUUUCUAACCUCUGGCCCCAGUGCCUGGCAGCUCUUCAGAGCUGGCUUAACAUUUUCCAAAAAUAAUAAUAAUAAUACUAAAUAAAACGAAAAAAAAAAAAAAAAGAGUUGACCACCUCAAGGGGUCGCCAAUCCUUAUCACCUGCUGGCCCUGUGGACUUCUUGGGUCCAGAAACCCUGGCCAUUCCUCAGUAAACAGCAAUCUGAAGGGCAGAGGCUGGGAACGGAACCCUGUCACAGGAGUUGGGUCUCCAGCACCUUUAUACACCUUUCCCCCAGGGGCCAGACGGGUUCUGGGCUCUGUCUGGGAUGGGGGCACAGCCCUCUCUCUGAGGCCCCUGUGUGCCUGGUGCUACACUCCCUGCCCUGCCCACAAAGGUUGCACUCCCUAACUGCCAAAUGCAAUAAGCCCCCAUCCCCAUGAUGUGGAAUUGGGGUUCUCAUCUCCCCAGCUAUAUACUUUAUUUUUAAAGAGAUGGUCAAGUCCCUGAAUGUUAGCAUGAGGGAACUGGAACAUGGUGGUAAUUUUCCAGGCCCGAGACACAGUAGCCUUGGGACCGUAGCCUUUGGGGAGACUUGCUAGGAUCUCUUGCCCAGCUAGACUUGGUCUAGCCCUGGGCCUGUGCCUCUCAACUGGUGCAGGCUGCUCUGGUCUUGGGAGCAGUUGAUGGGGAGUCUUCAUGAAGACAUAGAAGACCUGGAACCCAGGGAUGCCCAGUCCCACAUCCCCUCACUGGGGUCUGGGUGAUAACAGGAAGACCAGGCCCAGGUGUGUGAAGCCUUACUGCCUGCCUGUGUGUGACACGCCCAUGGUCCCAGGGUGGGGACAGUAGGCAUCUGAGCGAGAUGAGUGGUGGAGAAUAAACUCAGUUCCACUCCUGGCCCCUGGCCCAGCCUCUUCUUUAUGUGUUGCUGUCCUGAGGAAGGGUGGCAGGUGUCCCAGCAUCCCAGUGCACAAGUCCCAAGAGUAUUUAGGGUAUCCAUAGGACCAGUCUUUCUCCUUCAAGGCUGGGAUUAUACGGGCCCCAUGCUCCAUGUGGGUCUGUUGGUCUGUCACAGAAAGACCUGAAAUUCUGGAGCCUGCAGAAGUGGUAAUCCCCAGGGUAGAGCCCAGGAGAAUCCAGGGUGUCAGUCACAGGAGCCCAGACAGUAGGCCCCUCCCCUUUCAUCCGCCAGCUCAGCCCUUUUGGGCACCUAGGGUUCUCAUAGGUACUUCCUGCUGCUCAUGUUCUGUUUGGUGGCAUUCUGGGCCCUGGGGACAUAGGUGGAAGAUCUCUACGGUGUGAUCUAUCACCCUGCCCAUAGGUGCCCAGUGCCUCAGACAGAUCCAGAGGCCCGGUGCGGGAUGUUGUGGGUGAGGUGGCUGCCUGUGGAGAUUCGGACGUGAUCGCCACCUCCUGUUUCAGAAGACUCGUUGUAUUCACACCCUCAAAAACAAGAUGGGAUAGAACAUACCUGUAACACCAGCAUUUGGGAGGCAAGAGGAUUAGGAGUUAAAAGCCACCCAUUGCCACAUAGUUCCAGGACAGCCUGCCAUUUGGAAUUGACACCCAGUCUCACAAAGGCCUAAGGAAAGGACUUCUUGGGAGGAUCCUGUUGUUUUCUCUCACCUCUGCGCUCCUGUCCUUUGCUUCAGUGCUGCUGCUUUCAAACAGGGCCCCGGGUAAUAAAUAGGCUGUGGGCGGCAGAGAGAAAUCAGGCAUCUAGAACAUUUCCAGCCCCUUAGGUUCUGCUGACUGGCCUGGUUGGGAAGGCCACGCCUCAUCUGUGCACGCCUGGUUCUGAGGCCUGCUGGAUACAAGGAGAAUGAGACAUGGGCUGUAGCCUAGCAAUGCUCUGCGGCCCUCCCUUGCUGUGACACGGCUGUUCGCUGUGUUUGGUAGAGUAACUCAGGUGAAGCUGGAUCCCACUGCUAUGACAAGCCAUCCCUGCUUCAAUGACAUCACCUGUGACCCUGUGAGGUCUGUGGGAGAGGCUUUGGUGGCCCAGAAUGACAGAUUGCUUUAAUCUGUGGCACAACCAUAUUGACUUGGGUCUCCAGAGCUAAGGUUGGAACUGCAUACCACCAUUCAAAAGUGACAUGUUUCCACGCCAUUAGUCCAUUAGUACCAUGGCCAAGCCCUACUUCAAGGUGAUGUGGAAAAGGAACCAUAGAGAGUUCUAGAAAUAGAGUGGACAACUAUACCCUCUCCUGCACCUUGGUGCUGAGUCUCCUGAUGCCAGGUUGCCAGGCAGUCUACUGGGCUGAGGGUAUGCCUGAAAUCCCAGGUAGAUGAGAACUGAGACAGGAGGAUUGAUUAAGCCCAGGAGUUUGAGGCCAGUCUACAAUGUAGACCUUGUCUCAAAAUAAAUACAACUUUU